rnacentral:lncRNA from 1 species
AUUCCAUAUUUUCUUGUUAAAAACACAAGGUCUACUGGUGAAUGCCCACUAAUUCUUAAAUCCUUCUCCCUAAAUUUUUUUCAAUUAAUAAUCACGUUUCACGUAAAUAGAAAAAAACAUUAAAACUACUUAUUCCAGUUAGUCGUGCAACAAUGUAAAUCUAUUGACUAAUUAACAAGAAACAUGAUACUGCUUAGUUUCAUAAUGAAAUCAGUGUAGAAUUCUUCAAAUCUUCCAAGUGUGUCUCCAGUCACUGAAAAAAAGCCUGAAUUUCAAAGUAAUUCUGCUGAAGCAAUUGUAAACAAAAGUGCAUUUAUAGAGAUUUGUUAUGGGAAAGAUGAAAAACAGAAUCAGUAACAAAGUAUAACAACAACAAAACACAAAAUGAUCGGAUUAAGCAUAGAGAUAGAGAAGGUCUUGUGCUCGUCACAAAGCGGAGAAGAAACAGUCAGCAUCUAACAAAUGGUUUGUACCGUCAACAAUCAAUCUUUGCUUCAGUGCAUUGAAGAGAGGACUCUUGCAAAUAUGUUAUGGGACAACAAUUUCAUUCUUCUCCAGCUACAAGAAUUUCAUAGAUCUCUUCAAAUUCGAAUUUUAAGCUGUAGAAAUGUUCAGAAAACAAUUUAGUAAGGGCUGUACAAUAAUUACUUGUGGUUUAAUUACUAAAGAAGUCCACUGGAAUGAAUGUUUAUUAAAUAUAGAGGGUGGUGGAUCUCUCACCUCGAAUUUUUGAUUAAUUGAUCUACAUAUUCCGUAGCUCUUUCCCCCUUUUUCGUUCAAUUUUACUCCUGUAAUAUCCUG